CGCAGCCCUCAGCGGGAGGUCUGGAUGCAGAAACCAAACACACCGUCAGGCACUGAAACACCUGCACACUGAGUAACAGUAGGAGCUCAGUUCGGCGCCGACUGGAGCCAGCUGUUCUCCGAGGUUCUUACAGAACCGGAUCAGGUCCUGGAACAUGGCGCUCUGGAUCCGGUCCCGGUGCUUCAGCUGCUGGAUGAUGUGCCCCCUCCAGGUCUCUGCGGACCGACUGCUUCGCCGUGACGCCCCGCCAGGAUCCAUCCCGUAUCACUGCCGCCAUGAUCCGCGCUGACCGAGCCGCCUCAUGCCGCUCCCCGCUGAGGGACGCUCU